ensembl:lncRNA
GGCUGGGGCGGUCCCACGGACCCUCCCCCCGGCGAAGGCGGAUGAAGGCAGACGAAGCUGAUGGAGGCUGGAGCGGUCCCACGGACCCUCCAGCAGACGACGAAGGCUGGUGCGGUCCCCCGGACCCUCCAGCAGAGGCGGAUGAAGGCUGGAGCGGUCCCUCGGACGCUCCAGCGAAGGCGGAUGAGCAGCUCACUAGCUGCACACACGGACACGCAGCCCACCAGCUGCACACACGGACACGCAGCCCACCAGCUGCACACACGGACACGCAGCCCACCAGCUGCACACACGGACACGCAGCCCACCAGCUGCAGAAGGCUGGAGCGGUCCCUCGGAUCCUCCAGCGAAGACAGACGGAGACUGAAGCGGUCCUCGGACCCUCCAGCGAAGACAGAAGG